rnacentral:lncRNA from 1 species
UUUAUUUUUUUAUAGAAUCUUGUAAAUUUUAUUAGUGCAUGCUUUAAGAAUAAUGAUAGCAAUUUUUUUAUUUGCAUAUAAGUUAUCCGAUCUAAUCCGAUUCAUCAUGUCUAUCUAAUUCAACCCUCACCUCUAUUUGAUCCGAUCUUAUCCGACCCAAGGAGGGUACAAAAUGGGUAUGGCUAUGGGAUUUUCAAUUAC